AGGACGAACGCUGGCGGCGUGCUUAACACAUGCAAGUCGAGCGGAAAGGCCCUUCGGGGUACUCGAGCGGCGAACGGGUGAGUAACACGUGAGCAACCUGCCCUUAGCUUCGGGAUAGCUCCGGGAAACCGGAAUUAAUACCGGAUAUGAAUGCGGCUGACAUCAGCCACAUUGGAAAGUUUUCGGCUAGGGAUGGACUCGCGGCCUAUCAGCUAGUUGGUGAGGUAACGGCCCACCAAGGCGACGACGGGUA
rnacentral:rRNA from 1 species